ensembl:misc_RNA
CAGCCACUGUUACCUCCCUCCCCUCCCACAUGCGUCGCAAAUACCAACAUGGAAGCGACAAGCCGCGGCAAGGGAAAACCGUAACUACAGAAAGCUGGAAAGAGAAGCUUCUUUCAACGCCAGUCCAUCAAGAAAAAUGAAAGCACAUGAAAUCGAGGUCAAUGCUCUCAGUGCAUGUUCCCGACACGC